rnacentral:rRNA from 1 species
CACGUAGGGCGCAAGCGUUGUCCGGAAUUAUUGGGCGUAAAGAGCUCGUAGGCGGUCAGUCGCGUCUGCUGUGAAAACUCGGGGCUUAACUCCGGGCCUGCAGUGGGUACGGGCUGACUAGAGUGCGGUAGGGGAGACUGGAAUUCCUGGUGUAGCGGUGAAAUGCGCAGAUAUCAGGAGGAACACCUAUUGCGAAGGCAGCUCGCUGGGACGUAACUGACGCUGAGACGCGAAAGCGUGGGGAGCAAACAGG